CUCACCUAGGCGACGAUCCCUAGCUGGUCUGAGAGGAUGACCAGCCACACUGGAACUGAGACACGGUCCAGACUCUACGGGAGGCAGCAGUGGGGAAUAUUGCACAAUGGGCGCAAGCCUGAUGCAGCCAUGCCGCGUGUAUGAAGAAGGCCUUCGGGUUGUAAAGUACUUUCAGCGGGAGGAGGCGAUGGGUUAAUAACCUGUCGAUUGACGUUACCGCAGAAGAAGCACCGGCUAACUCCGUGCCAGCAGCCAGAUAAUACGGAGGGUGCAAGCGUUAAUCGGAAUUACUGGGCGUAAAGCGCACGCAGGCGGUCUGUUAAGUCGGACGAGAAAUCCCCGGGCUUAACCUGGGAACUGCAUUCGAAACUGGCAGGCUUGAGUCUUGUAGAGGGGGGUAGAAUUCCAGGUGUAGCGGUGAAAUGCGUAGAGAUCUGGAGGAAUACCGGUGGCGAAGGCGGCCCCCUGGACGAAGACUGACGCUCAGGUGCGAAAGCGUGGGGAGCAAACAGGAUUAGAUACCCUGGUAGUCCACGCUGUAAACGAAUGUCGAACUUGGAGGUUGUUCCCUUGAGGAGUGGUCUUCCGGAGCUAACGCGUUA
rnacentral:rRNA from 1 species